rnacentral:rRNA from 1 species
UACGUAGGGGGCUAGCGUUGUCCGGAAUCAUUGGGCGUAAAGCGCGUGUAGGCGGUUCGGUAAGUCUGCUGUGAAAGUCGGGGGCUCAACCCUCGAAUGCCGGUGGAUACUGUCGGGCUAGAGUGCGGAAGAGGCGAGUGGAAUUCCUGGUGUAGCGGUGAAAUGCGCAGAUAUCAGGAGGAACACCAAUUGCGAAGGCAGCUCGCUGGGACGUUACUGACGCUGAGACGCGAAAGCGUGGGGAGCAAACAGG